GAUGAACGCUGACAGAAUGCUUAACACAUGCAAGUCAACUUGAAUUUGGGUUUUUAACUUAGGUUUGGGUGGCGGACGGGUGAGUAACGCGUAAAGAACUUGCCUCACAGCUAGGGACAACAUUUGGAAACGAAUGCUAAUACCUAAUAUUAUGAUAAUAGGGCAUCCUAUAAUUAUGAAAGCUAUAAGCGCUGUGAGAGAGCUUUGCGUCCCAUUAGCUAGUUGGAGAGGUAACGGCUCACCAAGGCGAUGAUGGGUAGCCGGCCUGAGAGGGUGAUCGGCCACAAGGGGACUGAGACACGGCCCUUACUCCUACGGGAGGCAGCAGUGGGUAAUAUUGGACAAUGGACCGAGAGUCUGAUCCAGCAAUUCUGUGUGCACGAUGAAGUUUUUCGGAAUGUAAAGUGCUUUCAGUUGGGAAGAAACAAAUGACGGUACCAACAGAAGAAGUGACGGCUAAAUACGUG
rnacentral:rRNA from 1 species